CGGACGGGUGAGUAACACGUGGAUAACCUACCUAUAAGACUGGGAUAACUUCGGGAAACCGGAGCUAAUACCGGAUAAUAUAUUGAACCGCAUGGUUCAGUAGUGAAAGACGGUUUUGCUGUCACUUAUAGAUGGAUCCGCGCCGCAUUAGCUAGUUGGUAAGGUAACGGCUUACCAAGGCAACGAUGCGUAGCCGACCUGAGAGGGUGAUCGGCCACACUGGAACUGAGACACGGUCCAG
rnacentral:rRNA from 1 species